rnacentral:rRNA from 1 species
UACGGAGGGGGCGAGCGUUAUUCGGAAUUAUUGGGCGUAAAGGGCGCGUAGGCGGCCUUCUAAGUCGAACGUGAAAUCCCCGGGCUCAACCCGGGAACUGCGUCCGAUACUGGAAGGCUUGAAUCCGGGAGAGGGAUGCGGAAUUCCAGGUGUAGCGGUGAAAUGCGUAGAUAUCUGGAGGAACACCGGUGGCGAAGGCGGCAUCCUGGACCGGCAUUGACGCUGAGGCGCGAAAGCCAGGGGAGCAAACAGG